CUUUUCAUUUUUUUUCCAGGCCAGCGAUGAGUGGAGGAGAGAGAGAGAGAGAGAGGCGCCCCGCGAAGCUACUAGGCAAGAGAGACAGACUGCGAGAGGUGAUUCUGUGGCAGCGCAUGAAGGAAACUCGUGAUGCGGAGGUGGCGGAAAAGCUGAACGUGUUGGCUGCGGUGAUGGAAACCUACCCGGGCUUCAGUGUUGGUGGUUUGUUUGUCAUCACCAAGAGCAAACUGGUCGGGCUUGCGAGUUUCGUGGCGACCUACCUGGUGAUCCUUCUACAGUUUCAUAUGAGUGAUCACUGUACAAAGUGAGGAAGAAGAGGAGAAGGAGGAAGAAGAGGAGAAGGAGGAGGAGGAAGAGGAAUAGGAGGAGGAGGAGG
rnacentral:misc_RNA from 1 species